rnacentral:rRNA from 1 species
UUGAACGCUGGCGGCAUGCCUUACACAUGCAAGUCGAACGGUAGAGGGGCAACCCUUGAGAGUGGCGAACGGGUGAGUAAUAUAUCGGAACGUGCCCAGUCGUGGGGGAUAACGCAGCGAAAGCUGCGCUAAUACCGCAUACGAUCUAUGGAUGAAAGCGGGGGAUCGCAAGACCUCACGCGAUUGGAGCGGCCGAUAUCAGAUUAGGUAGUUGGUGGGGUAAAAGCCCACCAAGCCGACGAUCUGUAGCUG